rnacentral:rRNA from 1 species
GACGAACGCUGGCGGCGUGCUUAACACAUGCAAGUCGAACGGAAAGGCCCUCUCGGGGGUACUCGAGUGGCGAACGGGUGAGUAACACGUGGGUGAUCUGCCCUGCACUUCGGGAUAAGCUUGGGAAACUGGGUCUAAUACCGGAUAGGACUACGCACUGCAUGGUGUGUGGUGGAAAGCUUUUGCGGGGUGGGAUGGGCCCUCGGCCUAUCAGCUUGUUGGUGGGGUGAUGGCCUACCAAGGCGACGACGGGUAGCCGGCCUGAGAGGGUGUCCGGCCACACUGGGACUGAGAUACGGCCCAGACUCCUACGGGAGGCAGCAGUGGGGAAUAUUGCACAAUGGGCGCAAGCCUGAUGCAGCGACGCCGCGUGGGGGAUGACGGCCUUCGGGUUGUAAACCUCUUUCACCAUCGGCGAAGCCCAUAGCUUUUGUUGUGGGUGACGGUAGGUGGAGAAGAAGCACCGGCUAACUCCGUGCCAGCCGCCGCCGUAACAC